GAUGAACGCUGGCGGCGUGCCUAAUACAUGCAAGUCGAGCGAACGGACGAGAAGCUUGCUUCUCUGAUGUUAGCGGCGGACGGGUGAGUAACACGUGGAUAACCUACCUAUAAGACUGGGAUAACUUCGGGAAACCGGAGCUAAUACCGGAUAAUAUUUUGAACCGCAUGGUUCAAAAGUGAAAGACGGUCUUGCUGUCACUUAUAGAUGGAUCCGCGCUGCAUUAGCUAGUUGGUAAGGUAACGGCUUACCAAGGCAACGAUGCAUAGCCGACCUGAGAGGGUGAUCGGACACACUGGAACUGAGAAACGGUCCAGACUCCUACGGGAGGCAGCAGUAGGGAAUCUUCCGCAAUGGGCGAAAGCCUGACGGAGCAACGCCGCGUGAGUGAUGAAGGUCUUCGGAUCGUAAAACUCUGUUAUUAGGGAAGAACAUAUGUGUAAGUAACUGUGCACAUCUUGACGGUACCUAAUCAGAAAGCCACGGCUAACUACGUG
rnacentral:rRNA from 1 species